rnacentral:rRNA from 1 species
AACGAACGCUGGCGGCGUGCCUAAUACAUGCAAGUCGAGCGGACCACUUCGGUGGUCAGCGGCGGACGGGUGAGUAACACGUGGGCAACCUGCCUGUAAGACUGGGAUAACACCGGGAAACCGGUGCUAAUACCGGAUAAUCCUUUCCUUCACAUGAAGGGAAUCUGAAAGACGGUUUCGGCUGUCACUUACAGAUGGGCCCGCGGCGCAUUAGCUAGUUGGUGAGGUAACGGCUCACCAAGGCAACGAUGCGUAGCCGACCUGAGAGGGUGGUCGGCAAGACGGGGACGGGGACACGGCCCAGACUCCUACGGGAGGCAGCAGUAGGGAAUCUUCCGCAAUGGACGAAAGUCUGACGGAGCAACGCCGCGUGAGCGAUGAAGGCCUUCGGGUCGUAAAGCUCUGUUGUCAGGGAAGAACAAGUACCGGAGUAACUGCCGGUACCUUGACGGUACCUGACCAGAAAGCCACGGCUAACUACGUGCCAGCCGCCGCCGUAACAC